rnacentral:rRNA from 1 species
AUUGAACGCUGGCGGAAUGCUUUACACAUGCAAGUCGAGCGGCAGCGCGGGGGCAACCCUGGCGGCGAGCGGCGAACGGGUGAGUAAUACAUCGGAACGUGUCCUUCAAGUGGGGGAUAGCUCGGCGAAAGCCGGAUUAAUACCGCAUAAGCUCUGAGGAGGAAAGCGGGGGACUGGUAACGGCCUCGCGCUGUUGGAGCGGCCGAUGUCGGAUUAGCUAGUUGGUGGGGAAAGCCCACCAAGGCGACGAUCCGUAGCUGGUCUGAGAGGAUGAUCAGCCACACUGGAACUGAGACACGGUCCAGACUCCUACGGGAGGCAGCAGUGGGGAAUUUUGGACAAUGGGGCAACCCUGAUCCAGCCAUUCCGCGUGAGUGAAGAAGG